AUUGAACGCUGGCGGCAGGCCUAACACAUGCAAGUCGAGCGGAUGAAGGGAGCUUGCUCCUGGAUUCAGCGGCGGACGGGUGAGUAAUGCCUAGGAAUCUGCCUGGUAGUGGGGGAUAACGUCCGGAAACGGGCGCUAAUACCGCAUACGUCCUGAGGGAGAAAGUGGGGGAUCUUCGGACCUCACGCUAUCAGAUGAGCCUAGGUCGGAGUAGCUAGUUGGUGGGGUAAGGGCCUACCAAGGCGACGAUCCGUAACUGGUCUGAGAGGAUGAUCAGUCACACUGGAACGGAGACCCGGUCCAGACUCCUACGGGAGGCAGCAGUGGGGAAUAUUGGACAAGGGGCGAAAGCCUGAUCCAGCCAUGCCGCGUGUGUGAAGAAGGUCUUCGGAUUGUAAAGCACUUUAAGUUGGGAGGAAGGGCAGUAAGUUAAUACCUUGCUGUUUUGACGUUACCAACAGAAUAAGCACCGGCUAACUUCGUG
rnacentral:rRNA from 1 species